AUCCCAAGCAUCUUCGGCGGCCGCCGCAGCAACGUCUUCGACCCCUUCUCCCUCGACAUCUUCGACCCCUUCCACGACUUCCCCAACGUCCUCUCCACCGCUGCCGGCGGCGGACAGAACGAAGCCACGGCGAUCGCCAACAUGCGGAUCGACUGGAAGGAGACGCCGGAGGCGCACGUGUUCAAGGCGGACAUGCCGGGGCUGAAGAAGGAGGAGGUGAAGGUGGAAGUGGAGGAGGGAAGGGUGCUGCAGAUUAGUGGAGAGAGGAGCAGAGAGCAGGAGGAGAAGAACGAUAAGUAUCAUCGGGUGGAGAGGAGCUCGGGGAAGUUUUUGAGGAGGUUUAGGCUUCCGGAGAAUGUGAAGAUGGAGGAGGUGAAGGCUUGUAUGGAGAAUGGGGUGCUUACGGUGACGGUGCCGAAAGUGGAGGAGAAGAAGCUGGAAGUCAAGGCGAUUGACAUUUCCGGCUAGAACCGGUUUUUUGUUUUAUCAAGUGUCUGUAAUUUGUGUGCUUGGUUUUCUGUUGUGGUUGUUUUGUGUUGUCUCUGGAGUCCUGUGUAAUAUGUGUGACAUGUUGUCAUGAAAUAAAUAGUGUUUUCAAGUAGCGUUGGGUAAUUUGUACUAUUGACAAGUUUCCGAUGAUCGAAUCUACUUUGUUAACGAUAACUACAGUCAGAUCUGAUAAAACUGAAGAAUCAAGUAAUUAUUCAUCUCAUUUCAUAAGCUGGUGACACAGUCAUGUCUCUAUGACAGAGGAAUAUUCUUUACCUUAUGCUUCCUCCGUUCCAGUGAAUUGUAUACAGUUUUCUAGUUUUUUUUGGACUGUCUUGUAUAAAUUUUUAUAAUAUAAAAUAUCAUUACACUAACUACUAUCAUCCACUAUCUCUAUUUUAUAAUAAUAUAAACACUAUUACACCCACUACUUUCCUCCACUAUCUCAAAUCUAUUAUUAAAUAUUAAUGGGUCCCAUCACUCUACUNUUGAAUUAUAUUAGCUAUAAUACAGAGCCUAUAUAGUAGAGCCCGUGUCUUGCACGGGCUUUUACGCUAGUUAUGAUUUAUAAUUUAACAUGAUUAAGAAUUCGUUUAACUAAUUGUGAUCUUUCCGGAAUAUUGUUCAAUUUUGGGGCAUAACCGGGUCCAAUGGUUUGUUCUAUCUUGCACGCUUUUUUGACAUAACAUUCGAAUAGGAGGAUUCGAAAGUUACGUGUACUGUGUGCAUAAUACCUCAACAUAAAAUAACCAGAUCUUUAUAAAUUAAACAACAAAGAUUUGUUUGUUAGGUGAAUCUCUCAAGAGCGUGCAGCCACGAUAUAAGAGAAGAGUGGCACGACAAAGGCGGCCAAUGUUGUUAUUAUAUUCUUCACCAGACUCGAUCAAACAAACAUUCUUCGCAUUACUACUAUGCACUCCACAAAAACUCUACCCCAAGCUCAUUUACACUCUACAUUCAACCCUCCUAUACUACUCAUAUGAGGACCUUGUGCCCCAACUUAAACAGAGAAGAUGGUCUUCAAACAGUUCUGGAAGUUCCUAUUCCAGAAGAAACCUUCACUAUGUUUCCAGACAACAAAAAUAGUACUAUUUCGACGACCACUGCAUGGCACAACAUUAAGUCAUGGAUGAAGCCGCAAGCAGAGAGAUCAUCACCGCGUUCCUCUGGUGCCAGUCGGAACAGUACUAAUAUUCAGCUCUUGCUCGGAGUUGUGGGAGCUCCUCUCAUCCCUCUUCCUGUCCAUUCGGAUCAUACUGUCAGCAGCCGCAAUAUCAAAGAUCACCCUAUUGUAAGCCUGCAUAGUACUACAAAUUUUGUUUUCUAUGUUAUUAUUGUCGCACGUUCUAAUAGGCCUUGAUGUAUAAAUUUUGACAUGCAGGAAGCUGCAAUGUCUAAGUACAUAGUGCAGCAGUAUAUAGCAGCCACAGGAGGACAAAAGGCCAUCAACUCAAUCGAUAGCAUGUGUGUUAUAGGGAAGGUGAAGAUGGAAACAUCAGAUUUUAUCAGUGGUGAUACUUUAGGAUUGAGUCGAGAUGAUAAUAAUAAGAUGACGAGGGGAAAAAAUGGAGGAGAGAUGGGAGGAUUCGUGCUGUGGCAGCAGAAGAGAGCUGAGCUGUGGUGCUUGGAGCUGGUGGUUUCAGGUUACAAAAUUAGUGCUGGUAGUGAUGGUAAGGUGUCCUGGAGACAAACUCCAUGGAACCAUUCCCAUGCCUCUCGUGGCCCCCCUAGGCCCCUUCGUCGUUCCUUUCAGGUAAAAGCUACAUCUUUGUGAUUACGACUCGAUUCAUGAUUCUAUGCUGCGGUGUACUUGUAUUUACUAAAAUGCAACUAGCAAUAAACUGUCAGUUUAAUAUAAAAUAUCCAGCAUUGUAAACAUACAUACCAAGGCCUCAUCAUUACUAGUGCUAAACAGGGACUUGAUCCAAGAUCAACUGCGAACUUGUUCUCUGACUCGAUUUGUGUUGGGGAGAAGACCAUCAACAAUGAAGAUUGCUUUGUGUUAAAGGUCCAAGCAGAGCCCACAACACUAAGAGCAAGAAGUAGCAACAAUGUAGAGAUAAUCCAGCAUACUGUUUGGGGAUAUUUCAGCCAGAGAACAGGACUCCUUAUAAAGUUAGAUGACUCUCACCUCCUUAAAAUCAAGGCCAAAGUCCAAGAAAGUGGCAAUGUACUUUGGGAGACUACCAUGGAGUCAUUAGUCCAAGAUUACAGAACCAUUGAUGGAGUUAAUAUCGCGCACUCGGGACAGACAUCUGUGUCUUUGUUUAGGUUCGGGGAAAGCUCAGAAAGCCAUUCAAAGACACGAAUGGAGGAGGUUUGGAGGAUCGAAGAAGUGGACUUUAAUAUCAAGGGCUUAUCAAUGGACUGUUUCUUGGCUCCUGGUGACUUGAAGGAGGAAUAGAUGUGCAGUGCUGAGAAUCCUAGCAUCAUGGUCACAGAGAACUCUACAUUACCAUUUAGGCAUUUAUUCACAAGCAAGGUCUGCAAAGGGUUGCAGGACCAGAAAAAGUAGUAAAGCAUGUUUCAUUAUUCUUUUAGUAGACAAUACAAUUAACAUGUUAAGUACUUGUAGGAACUUAGAUUAACAGGAAAUUGAUAUAUUGAUAUCGAUCUAUUUGUCUAGUAAAUUCUUGGAGGAGAGUGUCAAUUACUUGUGUAUAACCUACGUCCCAGUUUCUUAUUUUUAAAUAGUGCCGAAAUAAAAGAACAAACAGGGGAUAUUAGUGAAGGUUGCUGUAAUCCUGAGACAAGUUUACCAGAAAUGAAUUUUUUUUUUUUUUUUUGAAUUCAGAAAUGAAAACUCUUAACUCUUUUUAGCGAUUUAAUUUUAUUUUUUAAAUUUAGCUUUAUAAAAAUAAGAUAUUAUCUUAAGAUAUGUUUGUUAUUAUAUUAAUAAUUUAUAUAUGUGAUACUUCGUAACUAUCAAACAACAUUUAAAUACAUAAAAUAAAAUUUAUAUUUUUAUGAAUAAUUUUAUUUAUAGAUAUUAAACAAUAUUUUUAAACGAAAACAAACAACCCAAUAUUUAUCGAUAUCUCACAGCUUUCGUUGAUAAAAUUGGUACGGAUGUAGUUUUAAAAUGAAAAGAAUAAAUUAUUUGGCCCAAAUGUUCUAGAGAAAACUAGAUAAUGCGAGAAGAUCUGAAGAAGUAGUGUCUGAUAGUUUCGGGAGAGUUUCAGAAGCAUGAAGCUAAGCCUCAACAGUCCACGUGUCCACCUUACGUGGACUCUCAAGUGUUCCCGAACAAUCUUCUUCUUUAAUCUCGCUCUAUAAAUUCCCCCACGUCCAUCUCUCUAUCCACAAAGCAAAAACAAAAUCACACAUCAGUCAUCGUCUCAAACUCUCAAUCAAAAUCUCUUAAGAAAUGGCUCUGAUCCCAAGCAUCUUCGGCGGCCGCCGCAGCAACGUCUUCGACCCCUUCUCCCUCGACAUCUUCGACCCCUUCCACGACUUCCCCAACGUCCUCUCCACCGCUGCCGGCGGCGGACAGAACGAAGCCACGGCGAUCGCCAACAUGCGGAUCGACUGGAAGGAGACGCCGGAGGCGCACGUGUUCAAGGCGGACAUGCCGGGGCUGAAGAAGGAGGAGGUGAAGGUGGAAGUGGAGGAGGGAAGGGUGCUGCAGAUUAGUGGAG
rnacentral:lncRNA from 1 species